rnacentral:rRNA from 1 species
ACAUGCAAGUCGAGGGGCAGCAUGGUCUUAGCUUGCUAAGGCCGAUGGCGACCGGCGCACGGGUGAGUAACACGUAUCCAACCUGCCUUAUACUCCCGGACAGCCUUCUGAAAGGAAGAUUAAUACGGGAUGGCAUCACGAGCCAGCAUUUUCUCGUGAUUAAAGAACUUCGGUAUAAGAUGGGGAUGCGUUCCAUUAGAUAGUAGGCGGGGUAACGGCCCACCUAGUCGACGAUGGAUAGGGGUUCUGAGAGGAAGGUCCCCCACAUUGGAACUGAGACACGGUCCAAACUCCUACGGGAGGCAGCAGUGAGGAAUAUUGGUCAAUGGGCGCGAGCCUGAACCAGCCAAGUAGCGUGAAGGAUGACUGCCCUACGGGUUGUAAACUUCUUUUAUAAAGGAAUAAAGUGAGGCACGUGUGCCUUUUUGUAUGUACUUUAUGAAUAAGGAUCGGCUAACUCCGUGCCAGCAGCCGCGGUAAUACGGAGGAUCCGAGCGUUAUCCGGAUUUAUUGGGUUUAAAGGGAGCGUAGAUGGGUUGUUAAGUCAGUUGUGAAAGUUUGCGGCUCAACCGUAAAAUUGCAAUUGAUACUGGCAGCCUUGAGUACAGUUGAGGUAGGCGGAAUUCGUGGUGUAGCGGUGAAAUGCUUAGAUAUCACGAAGAACUCCGAUUGCGAAGGCAGCCUACUAAACUGCCACUGACAUUGAUGCUCGAAAGUGUGGGUAUCAAACAGGAUUAGAUACCCUGGUAGUCCACACGGUAAACGAUGAAUACUCGCUGUUUGCGAUAUACUGCAAGCGGCCAAGCGAAAGCGUUAAGUAUUCCACCUGGGGAGUACGCCGGCAACGGUGAAACUCAAAGGAAUUGACGGGGGCCCGCACAAGCGGAGGAACAUGUGGUUUAAUUCGAUGAUACGCGAGGAACCUUACCCGGGCUUGAAUUGCACUCGGAUAUAGCGGAAACGUUAUAGCUAGCAAUAGCGAGUGUGAAGGUGCUGCAUGGUUGUCGUCAGCUCGUGCCGUGAGGUGUCGGCUUAAGUGCCAUAACGAGCGCAACCCUUGUCUAUAGUUACUAACAGGUCAUGCUGAGGACUCUAUGGAGACUGCCAUCGUAAGAUGUGAGGAAGGUGGGGGAUGACGUCAAAUCAGCACGGCCCUUACGUCCGGGGCCACACACGUGUUACAAUGGGGGGUACAGAGGGCCGCUACCACGCAAGUGGAUGCCAAUCCCGAAAGCCUCUCUCAGUUCGGACUGGAGUCUGCAACCCGACUCCACGAAGCUGGAUUCGCUAGUAAUCGCGCAUCAGCCAUGGCGCGGUGAAUACGUUCCCGGGCCUUGUACACACCGCCCGUCAAGCCAUGGGAGCCGGGGGUACCUGAAGUGCGUAACCGCAAGGAGCG